ACCGCCUCCGAGAAGAUGGCUGUGCCUCCCACAUAGGCUGAUCUUGGCAAGUCUGCCAGGGAUGUCUUCACCAAGGGCUACAGCUUUGGCUUAAUAAAACUUGAUUUGAAAACGAAGUCUGAGAAUGGAUUGGAAUUUACCAGCUCAGGCUCCGCCAACACAGAGACCACCAAAGUGAACGGCAGCCUGGAAACCAAGUACAGAUGGACUGAGUACGGGCUGAUGUUGACAGAGAAGUGGAACACAGACAACACCCUGGGUACCGAGAUCACCGUGGAAGACCAGCUCGCGCGAGGACUGAAGCUGACCUUUGAUUCAUCCUUCUCGCCUAACACUGGGGGGAAAAUUCUAAAAUCAAGACAGGGUACAAGAGAGAACAUAUCAACCUGGGCUGUGAUGUGGACUUUGACAUCGCCGGGCCCUCGAUCCGUGGCGCUCUGGUGCUUGGCUAUGAGGGUUGGCUGGCUGGCUACCAGAUGAAUUUUGAGACCGCGAAGUCCCGAGUGACCCAGAGCAACUUUGCCGUUGGCUACAAGACAGACGAAUUCCAGCUUCAUACUAAUGUGAAUGAUGGGACAGAGUUUGGUGGCUCCAUUUAUCAGAAGGUGAACAAGAAGUUGGAGACCGCUGUUAAUCUCGCCUGGACAGCAGGAAACAGUAACACUCGCUUAGGAAUAGCAGCCAAGUAUCAGGUCGACCCUGAUGCCUGCUUUUCGGCCAAAGUGAACAACUCUAGCCUGAUCGGCUUAGGGUACACUCAGACCCUAAAGCCAGGUAUCAAACUGACCCUGUCGGCUCUGCUGGAUGGCAAGAACGUCAAAGCGGGUGGCCACAAGCUUGGUCUAGGACUGGAAUUUCAAGCAUAAAUGAAUAUUGUACAAUCGUUUAUUUUAAACUAUUUUGCAGUAUAGCUACCUUCAGAAUUUAGUGUACCUUUUAAUGUUGUAUGUUGGGGAUGCGAGAAUUGAUAAAUACCACGUUAGAUCUCCAGGCUAAGGAUGACUUGGCUUUAAGGCGUUUACCAUUUCAGAGGUACACCAAAAACCCCAUUCCUGAAAGGGUCCUUUUAGCUGUAGACGUGGGUUGGGGAGGAGCCCCUCUAAAGAUGUCAGGCCCCAGGUGGAAGCUGGGGAUGUACGGGUCCUUUGUCAAUCUGUAGAGUCCACAGAUGACAUUGUGACUUCCUGAGCAUUGGUGUCCUGAUCCUAGCUGCUGAGAAGCAUGCACACACCUGUGUGAAAGGGACUGUUUUAGACAGAUCUCCGUGCCCUCUUCCCAUCCUAGCCCAUCAGUUACCUGUUUUACACCAAAAGUA